rnacentral:lncRNA from 1 species
ACAAGUCUAAUUAAUUAAUUCAAGAUUAGAUCCCUUAAUGUGUGACCCCAUAGAUUCUAUUCUGUCUGGUAGUGAGAUAUAUUAUGAUCUCCAUCAUAAUAUCAUCGAAACUCCUUUCGAUGGAUUGGAGCAAUUUCAGCUCUAUCCUUCGAGGGUCAUCGAUUAUCAAGAUGACAUCCGAUGAGUCCUACAAUCCAUUAGUGACACCUAGCAGUAUGUAGUGACAAUCUAGUAGAAUAAAAAUAUAAAUUCCU